ACCCAGCCGACGAGCCCCAAAUAAGACGAAACGCUCGUCCUGGAU
rfam:Schistosoma rodhaini strain Burundi genome assembly, scaffold: SROB_scaffold0000078